UGCACCCCGAUGUUUCUAGCAGCAAUGUCCACAAUAGCCAAACUGUGGAAAGAACCUCGGUGUCCAUCGAAAUAAAUGGAUAAAGGAGAUGUGGUUUAUGUAUGCAAUGGAAUAUUACUCAGCUAAUAGAAAUGACAAAUACCCACCAUUUUCUUUGAUGUGGAUGGAACUGGAGGGUAUUAUGCUGAGUGAAAUGAGUCAAUCGGAGAAGCACAAACAUUAUAUGUUCUCAUUCAUGUGGGGAAUAUAAAUAAUAGUGAAAGGGAAUAGAAGGGAAGGGAGAAGAAAUGGGUAGGAAAUAUCAGAAAGGGAGACAGAACAUAAAGACUCCUAACUCUGGGAAACGAACUAGGGGUGGUGGUAGGGGAGGAGGCAGGGGGGUGAGGUGAAUGGGUGAUGGGCACUGAGGGGGGCACUUAAUGGGAUGAGCACUGGGUGUUAUUCUGUAUGUUGGCAAAUAAAUAAAAUUAAAUUACUGUAAAAUCUAUUGAUAGAAAAAGAAUUGCUGUCUUUUGUGCAUGGCAUAAUAGCUGUUUUCAUAUAAAAAAUGAAUGUGUCUAAAUCAGAGACUGAAUAGGUAUGCACAUAUCAUCUGCCUAGAUAUCUAGUUAUCCCUAGAUAACUCCCUGGGGAAAACAGCUCCUUGGAGAGGAAUCCCAGACCCUGACAAGAAACCUGCCCAGAACCUCCAUCUGCACCUGCUCCUGGGCCUUCAAGACACAAGUGGUGAGGAGGGUGCACCCCCUGGUGGUCCUGAUCCCCUUAACAGAGAGGUUUCUGUCUGGGCUCACACUGAGGUUGACUCACUGUGUCCUUCGCACAGUAAUACACGGCUGUGUCCUCAGCUCUCAGGCUGUUCAUCUGCAGAUACAGCGUGUUCUUGGCAUUGUCUCUGGAGAUGGUGAAUCAGCCCUUCACAGUGUCUGCGUAGCCUGUGCUACUUCCACUACUGCCAAUAACUGCGACCCACUGCAGCCCCUUCCCUGGAGCCUGGCGGACCCAGCUCUUGGCAUGGCUACUGAAGGUGUUGGAAGUUCUAUACAUCUUGCUGCUGUUCAGAGACAGGUUGUGGUACUCAGCCUUUUCCCUCCAGACUUUGGCAUUGACUACAGGGCGUUCCCCUGGAGGCUGAUGGACCCAUGUGACACCCUCACUGACAUAUGCAGUGAGAACCCAGAGAAGGGGCAGGUGAGUGUAAGGGUCUGCCUGCGGUUCCCCAGCCCAGAUCCAGACUCCUGCAGGGGAACCUGGGACAGAUCUCCUGUGGAGAAGGACAACAAAGGAUGGGGACAGGACUUGCCUUCCAAUAAAAAAUAAUUAAAAAAAAAGAAUUCUGGUCCUGCAUGGAACGAACCUGGUAUGAUGGUGUUCAAGUGGCAAAGUGGGGAAAUUUCCAGGAUCUGUGGUCCCCCUGAGUCCUACAAACAAAAAGCAGCAUGAUGUGACGGAUGGUUAAAAAGGACAGGAUUCUGGAGAUGGGUAAACAUUAUGUCUGAGUGCAGGCAUUGUGAUUUGUGUUUCCAUAAACUGAACCAUGUGUAGUCCUGUGCCUCUAUCCUGAGACCAGCAGGCAGAAUGUAAGAGACCAUGAGACCCUUGCUCGGAGGACAAUCCCAGGUCCACACCACAGGAAUACCUCAUGUUGAC
rnacentral:lncRNA from 1 species